CCCUGGCUGGCUCAGUUGGUAGAGCAUGAGACUCUUAAUCUCAGAUUGUGAGUUCAAGCUCCAUGUUGGGUA
rnacentral:tRNA from 1 species